rnacentral:lncRNA from 1 species
AAGAGAUGCAAACAACUGUUUUUUUUUAGAGAAAAAUCAAACACACACACUGCUAUAUUUAUUACUUACUUCUCAUAACUUGUCAAAACAUUCGCCUUUGUGUUCAAACAUCUCACAAUUCGAAUCUUUAUCUGAAUCAAUUGAGUCAUUUGAUUCGAUCUCCCAAAAGCCCCACUUUUGCCAUCAAUAAAAAAAAACAGGGAAGCUAAAUGCUAAGAAGUAGCAUGCUAUACCAGUGCUGACCACUAGGGGCAGUCUAACUCAACAGGGUUACCUGCAGGAAGCGCAACACCUGCGGGCUGGCAGUUAUCCAGCAACAGGUGAGGCAAAUGGCUGAGCGGUUGUUUGGUAAAUGAAGAUUUUAGCGGACAGCGCUGGAAAAACUGGAUAUAAAGUUUACUGAGAGACGGGUCACCAGAAGGGUCCUGAACAUUGCAGAUUGAACACAAAUGGCUCUACUGGUUCAGAUACCCAUGAAGAACUUAACUACCUGGAUCAGGUGAAGUGGCUACAAACUCGCAUCGUCAGAAAGAAAGCAGGUGUCCAACAUGGCGAACACGGCCAGCGGAUCUCUCGCAGCUCUACUCUUUUUAUUCACGGUUGCGGCGGCUGUUCUCAAAGGUAAGUGAAGGCUAUGUUUGGCUCUUUAUCUUAUCCCGGCUGUGGACUCUGCUGCACAUGCUUCUGAGAAAUGGGUCCUGAGGUGAUUCAUCAGCAGGAGGGAGGCACUGAUUUUUAAAAAUACCCCUCACUUCACCACAUGACAGGA